GCCCAGCUAAAGAACAAGAGGAUGGUUGGACUCUGGUAAGCCCAAAAUUUGAUAGUCAAAUUAUGGCUUCUUCCGCUAAAAUAACAUCAUCAACAAAACAGGCUGGCUCUUUAUCUCGGGAAUUUCCACCACCAUCAAUAGAAGAAAUUGAUGAUGAAAUAACUAAUAGACCAAAUAGUUUUGGACAAGUGAAACUACGAUUUCCAAUGAAUGUGGUACUUGAAGGAGCUCAUCAAGAAAUUCUGUUAAAAGAUACCAAUGAUAC